rnacentral:misc_RNA from 1 species
GAUGAAGAACGUAGCGAAAUGCGAUACUUGGUGUGAAUUGCAGAAUCCCGUGAACCAUCGAGUCUUUGAACGCAAGUUGCGCCCGAAGCCAUCAGGUUGAGGGCACGUCUGCCUGGGCGUCACAUAUCGUUGCCCAAUGCCUAUUGCAGUGCAAUAGGAAUUUCUAGGGCGAAUGAUGGCUUCCCGUGAGCGUUGUUGCCUCGCGGUUGGUUGAAAAUCGAGUCCUUGGUAGGGUGUGCCAUGGUAGAUGGUGGUCGAGUUAGAACGAUACCGAUCAUGUGCAUGCUCCCCAAAAUAUGGCCUCUAUGACCCACACGCGUCUUUUGACGCUCAUGACGAGACCUCAGGUCAGGCGGAGCUACCCGCUGAAUUUAAGCAUAUCAAUAAGCGGAGGA